rnacentral:rRNA from 1 species
ACGUAGGGUGCAAGCGUUGUCCGGAAUUACUGGGUUUAAAGGGUACGUAGGUGGGCGUCUAAGUCUGGAGUGAAAGUUUGAGGCUCAACCUCGAAAGUGCUUUGGAUACUGGGCGUCUAGAAUUAGAUAUAGGUAGCUGGAAUUUGUGGUGUAGCGGUGAAAUGCAUAGAUACCACGAGGAACACCAAUUGCGAAGGCAGGCUACUGGGUCUAUAUUGACACUGAUGUACGAAAGUGUGGGUAGCGAACAGG